rnacentral:lncRNA from 1 species
UGGGGGCCUCGCAUCUGCAUCGGGCAAAUGUUCGCGAUGGUGGAGGCGAAGAUGGCGGUGUCGAUGAUUCUGCAACGCUUCUCGUUUGAGCUCUCGCCUUCGUAUACGCACGCUCCUUUCACCGUUGUUACUACUCAGCCUCAGCAUGGCGCUCACCUUACCUUGCACAAGCUCUAGCUUUGUUUUUUUUUUUUUUUUAACCGUCGUUUGUUAAUAAAGAUUUACUGCAUCCGUCGCUAAAGGUAUCAAAUUUGUCGGGUUGGGCCGUUCGGGCAUAUUAUUUGGGCUCAUUGGGCCAACUCAUGGACUAUGGUCGGGCCAGUUAAAAAGCUUAUAAAAACGUGGCAUAAGUUGAACUAAUGCUCAAAAUUAAAUUUAUAUAUUUAAAAAAUAAGUUUGGAGGAACGAU